AAUAAAUUAAAUUACUCGUAAACUAUUCGAGACUCAGCUCGAUAAAAGCUCGACUCAGCUCGAUAAAAGCUCGACUCAGCUCGAUAAAAGCUCGACUCAGCUCGAUAAAAGCUCGACUCAUCUAAGCUCGUUUGCUAAACGAGCCAAGCUUGAGCUUCUUAAUACUCGGCUCGAGUUCGAUAUGAGUAAAGCUCGAAUUCGGCUCGAGCUCGAAAAAAUUUUAACGAACCAAGCUUGAGCUCUUCAAAGCUCGGCUCGGCUCGGUUCGUUUACAC
rnacentral:lncRNA from 1 species